UUUCGCCCUCAAAUCAGGUAGGACUACCCGCUGAACUUAAGCAUAUCAAUAAGCGGGAGGA
rnacentral:rRNA from 1 species